rnacentral:rRNA from 1 species
UUGAACGCUGGCGGCAGGCCUAACACAUGCAAGUCGAGCGGCAGCGCGGGGCAACCUGGCGGCGAGCGGCGGACGGGUGAGUAACGCGUAGGAAUCUACCCAGUAGCGGGGGAUAGCCCGGGGAAACUCGGAUUAAUACCGCAUACGCCCUAAGGGAGAAAGCAGGGGAUCGUAAGACCUUGCACUAUUGGAAGAGCCUGCGUUGGAUUAGCUAGUUGGUAGGGUAAAGGCCUACCAAGGCGACGAUCCAUAACUGGUCUGAGAGGAUGAUCAGUGACACCGGAACUGAGACACGGUCCGGACUCCUACGGGAGGCAGCAGUGGGGAAUAUUGGACAAUGGGGGCAACCCUGAUCCAGCCAUGCCGCGUGUGUGAAGAAGGCCUUCGGGUUGUAAAGCACUUUAAGUGGGGAGAAAGGCUCGGCAGCUAAUACCUGCCGGAAGUGAUGUUACCCACAGAAUAAGCACCGGCUAACUCUGUGCCAGCCGCCGCCGUAA